rnacentral:rRNA from 1 species
AUGAACGCUAGCGAUAGGCCUAACACAUGCAAGUCGAGGGGCAGCACAUGACGUAGCAAUACAGAUGGUGGCGACCGGCGCACGGGGUGAGUAACACGUAUGCAACCUACCUUCCACAGGGCGAUAACCCGUUGAAAAACGGACUAAUAGUCCAUAAUACAGGGAUCCCGCAUGGGAAUAUUUGUUAAAGAUUUUUUCGGUAGAGGAUGGGCAUGCGCUCCAUUAGCUAGUUGGUUGAGGUAACGGCUCACCAAGGCAACGAUGGAUAGGGGAGCUGAGAGGUUUAUCCCCCACACUGGUACUGAGACACGGACCAGACUCCUACGGGAGGCAGCAGUGAGGAAUAUUGGUCAAUGGAGGCAACUCUGAACCAGCCACGUCGCGUGAAGGAUGACGGCCCUAUGGGUUGUAAACUUCUUUUAUACAGGAAUAAAGUGAGUCACGUGUGAUUUUUUGCAUGUACUGUAUGAAUAAGGAUCGGCUAACUCCGUG